AGAGCGAGAAGAUGAUGCAUGUGAGCCCUGCCCUUGGGAAGCUUCCAGGUUGGGAAAUGAGGAAUGAGCCUGACACCCAGGGCCCAGAGAGACCCAGGACAGAGGCAGGUCAGGAGGCAGACACGCGCUGCUGGGUAAUGACGACAGCACCAGUAAUCACGGCUACUCCUUGUUAAGUACUUACUAAGUGCAAGACUCCAAGCUAAGCAAUUAAUAGACCUUUUCUUGUUUAAUCCUUACCACAAUUCCAUAGGAUGUUCUCACAGAGCUACACAUGCCACAGUCAUCACUAGUUGCGAGAGUCUCCAGUGUUCAUUAAGCCUAUUUUGCUGGAAGUUUAGUCCCUGGAGGAUUAGUCCCUGCCCUUAAGGAGUGCCAAAGAAGACUUUGGAAUCUAAGUCACAUCUCCCCUGCUGCAAUUUUUUCCUCUUGAUAAUCAAGGAAUCUCACUGAUAAAACUCUCAAUGAGGAGCAGCUCUCCCCAUGAGCAAGUUCUUGCCUUCAUUGCCAGGGAGGCCCCAGCUAAGGUUAUACUGGGAAAGGAAUCUCUGGGGAGUACCUGGAAGAGGUCAGCUUCUCCUCAAAGGAAGCCUCUCCAGCUGGUGUACUGCAAAGCCUUCCAAGACCAAGUUCCCUCUUCCUGGCCUCUGGAACCAGCCUGUGUGCCAGCGCUGUGUCCCCAGUAACACACAUGAGUCUCUCCCUCAGAAGCCACAGAAGGAUGCAGAGAGAGACCAACCCAGGAUUGAUUCUCAGCACUUACUAAUUGUGUGGACAUAACUGCUCUGGACCUCAGCUUUGCUAUCUAUAAAAUGAGCACCCUUUUUAUAGAUAUGAACACUUUAAGAGAGUCAUAAAGAUUGAAGUUGAUUUGUGCUGCGCCUGGCACAGAGGUCUCCCUCAGUAAAUGGCAGCCACUGCUAUUGGGGUGCCCCAACACCCCUUGCCCCUGCCCACCAUUAGCUUUCACUUAGGCCCACACUGAGGGUGUGGCUGUUGUGUUGGGGGAAGGAAAAAAACCAUGCCUGGGUUGCAGGGCCCCCACCACCAACUGGUCUGCUUUUGUGGGAAGCAUUUUCUGAUGCCCUCGCCCUACCCGUGGGCUGGUUGACUAAGUGUCCAGCAUCAUGAGGAAAAGAGCAGGGUUCAGGGACAGCUUGGCUCAGCCCUGAAACUCAUCUGGGCCUAGGUCCAGAUGAGAGGCAAGCCUGGGAGGCCUUCCGUUGUACCCUUGCCUAUCCUGCAGCACCCUCUAGCCUGCAGGCCGCUCCUGGGUGGCAUAGCACCUUGGAUGUCAGGUGUGGGCCUUCCCAGGCACAUGGCAUGAGGGGGCACUUCUGUGGGUUGUUGGGGGCAGGAAGGGAUGUGUCUCCAGCUGGACUUGGGCUCUCGCAUUUUGGGGCCCAGCCAUGCCAGGACAGCACACAUGGGCGCUUAGUGCGAAUCUCAUGAUGGAGCAGAGGAGGAGCAAAGCAAAACCAGGGAGUCCCCAGGCCCCUGCUUCUGCCCCGCCCAGAGACAGUGGAGCAGGUGUCUCCAGCUUCUUAACCUCAACGCACAGUAAGAAAUACAUUUUACAGCAACCAAUAGACACAUACAUUUACAAAACGA
rnacentral:lncRNA from 1 species